UCCCUUGUAGCUCAGUUGGUAAAGAAUCUGCCUGGAGUGCAGGAGACCUGGGUUCAAUCCCUGGGUUGGGAA
rfam:TPA: Bos taurus chromosome 17, whole genome shotgun sequence.